UGCGAGGGCAGUCUGGUGGAGACAUCUGUCACUCACUGAGUGCUAGAGCUGAUCCAGCUGAUCGGACUGGGAAGGUGGCUGUCCUCUUCCUGUCCUCACUGCCCCACGUACAGCUCUCCCAAAGCUGCAUGCUACGGCACUGAGUCAGUAGAAAAGGACCACCUUCCCUGAAUGGAGAAGCUUGGUUUGGGUUACGGGUAAGUGAGCGGCUGCACUCCUCCAAACAAGCUCUCAAACAGGACGUUCAAGCCAGCAAGUUCCCAGGCUACG
rfam:Rattus norvegicus chromosome 12, whole genome shotgun sequence.